UGCCAGUGAGAAAUCAGCUCAAUGAGUUUUGGGUUCGGGAGUUGAGGUAGGGUCAAACCACCUCUCUUUUGAACUUGGGGCUUGUUUUGUGUACUUUCUUUUUGGCAGGUCAACGUCGAUUUUGGGGGUUGUAAAAUAACUGGGGUAAUGUGACUCCUCUCGGGGAGUGUUAUAGACCCUGGUGGAUGCAGCCCGUGGGAUCGAGGAUUGCAGCAAAUGCUUUUUGCUUGUCGCCUGUCCGCUGAACGGCGCCUCGCUUGUGACAAUAUUUCUUGACACUUUGUGGGGUCUGACGGUUACCGGUUAGAGC
rnacentral:rRNA from 1 species